AUGGCGUCGACCUCUAGGGCAUCGACCUGGCGACCUCGACGGUGGGCGGCGUCGUGGCAUGGUCCGUGUCGACAUCUUGGUCGAACCAUCGUGACGAGGUGGACAGCAGGAGGUGAUGGCGACCUCCUCGUCGUUCUUUGUGACACUGGCUCGGUGGAGACCAUCCCCGGCAACAAUGACUUCAUCUUCCGGUCCGGCGGCUCCAUCUCUGGUGGCGAUCCGAUCAUGCGAACAUUGCCUUCGGCAACGCUCCUGACUUGUGUGCGUGCAUGCUAUAUGCUAAAAAAGAACUAA
rnacentral:rRNA from 1 species